rnacentral:rRNA from 1 species
AGUGAACGCUGGCGGCAGGCCUAAUACAUGCAAGUCGAACGGCAGCACAGUGGAGCUUGCUCCAUGGGUGGCGAGUGGCGGACGGGUGAGGAAUACAUGGGAAUCUGCCCAGUCGUGGGGGGUAACGUAGGGAAACUUACGCUAAUACCGCAUGCGCCCUUCGGGGGAAAGACGGGGACCUUCGGGCCUGGCGCGAUUGGAUGAGCCCAUGUUCGAUUAGCUAGUUGGCGGGGUAAAGGCCCACCAAGGCGACGAUCGAUAGCUGGUCUGAGAGGAUGAUCAGCCACACUGGGACUGAGACACGGCCCAGACUCCUACGGGAGGCAGCAGUGGGGAAUAUUGGACAAUGGGCGCAAGCCUGAUCCAGCCAUGCCGCGUGAGUGAAGAAGGCCUUCGGGUUGUAAAGCUCUUUUGUCCGGGAAGAAAAGCAUCGGGCUAAUACCUCGGUGUUCUGACGGUACCGGAAGAAUAAGCACCGGCUAACUUCGUG